CAGAGAAAACAGAGGAGAUACAGAGAGAGAAGGAAAUAAAAAUAGGAGGAUCUGAAGCACACAGAAAUAGGAAUGACAGACAUUCUUGUCACAUUAACACAUCUACAGGGUUACUUAUUAUAAACCAAUAAGUAAUAAUUGAUAACGAGAUAUGAGCACCACUAUUUCUGAUGAGAAAAGAACUAUAUAUAUGUCGGCAGCUGUGACUAGUCGCACACCUGCAUCUCUUUCCAGCAGAUAUUUUGACAAACGUCAUAUUGCGCCACAGCCGAGCCUAGUUGGCAGUUGGGUCCUGAGCGUGUAACGCUGCUGCAUGCCAAUUUUAGUUCAUUGCACAAAAAGUGUAAAUAAAAAAUGGCAUGAGUGUAUACACAUGCGAGUAAAUAGAGAGAGCUGGCUGUGUGUUUGUAUAUAAACACAGGCAUACAAAGUUUAUUUCGAAAUAAAUUAUAAAAAAAACAAAAUACUCUCAUAUCCCAAAACACUCACGAAACCGCAUCUGAUUACGGACAUGUAAUCAUUUAUUAAGAAAACAGAUAUAUAUCUGGAACUGUAGUGUCCCAAAACGGAUAGAAUUAAACAAUCUCUAGGCUCGUGAGAUGGCAAGGUGUAGGAUAACUACCUACGUCAGCGGUCACGUGCUCCAUUUCCAAACAUGUUCCAUACAUACACCUUAUCACAUAUCGCAUGUUCCCUCGGCAACCGUUACCACACCAAGACCAAGGGCAGCUUCCCCGGCAACCGGUAUCAGACCAGAACAAGAACAGGCCUAAGGCAACGUUAAUUCCCAGACCGCGCGGCGUUCGGGGAAGGGUGGGCAGCGUGCGAGGGUAGGAAAGUGGCGGGCGCCUCAACAGAGGUCUGACGCGAGGGUAGCGCGCGGGGCCCUGUGCGAGGUCAGCCGCUCGCACCUCCCUGCCCCGUAGACGCCGGCCAGCAACAACGCCCGCGCCACUCUCGCCCCUUCGACCUACAAGUAGUUAUCCUCUGCUGAUGCAACACCAUAAAGAACGUUGAACGCACACAAUUAGUAAAAAAAAAAAAAAAAAAAAAAAAAA